UGGGGAAUAUUGCACAAUGGAGGGAACUCUGAUGCAGCGACGCUGCGUGAAUGAAGAAGGCUUUCGAGUCGUAAAGUUCUUUUAUAUGGGAAGAUAAUGACGGUACCAUAAGAAAAAGCCCCGGCUAACUACGUGCCAGCAGCCGCGGUAAUACGUAGGGGGCUAGCGUUGUCCGGAAUCACUGGGCGUAAAGGGUUCGCAGGCGGAAAUGCAAGUCAGGUGUAAAAGGCAGUAGCUUAACUACUGUAAGCAUUUGAAACUGCAUAUCUUGAGAAGAGUAGAGGUAAGUGGAAUUUUUAGUGUAGCGGUGAAAUGCGUAGAUAUUAAAAAGAAUACCGGUGGCGAAGGCGACUUACUGGGAUCAUUCUGACGCUGAGGAACGAAAGCGUGGGUAGCAAACAGG
rnacentral:rRNA from 1 species